UCCGGUUGAUCCUGCCGGACCUGACUGCUAUCGGAUUGGUACUAAGCCAUGUGAGUCAUUGUAGCAAUACAAGGCAUACGGCUCAGUAACACGUAGUCAAUCUAACCUAUGGACGUGGAUAACCUCGGGAAACUGAGAAUAAUCCGCGAUAGAUCAUUAAUCCUGGAACGGUUUAUGGUCGAAAUGAUUCGUCGCCAUAGGAUGGGACUGCGGCCUAUCAGCUUGUUGAUGAGGUAAUGGCCCACCAAGGCUAUUACAGGUACGGGCUCUGAGAGGAGAAGCCCGGAGAUGGGUACUGAGACACGGACCCAGGCCCUAUGGGGCGCAGCAGGCGAGAAACCUUUGCAAUGUGCGCAAGCACGACAAGGUUAAUCCGAGUGUUUCCUGCUAAAGGAAUCUUUUGUUAGUUCUAAAACCACUGAUGAAUAAGGGGUGGGCAAGUUCUGGUGUCAGCCGCCGCGGUAAAACCAGCACCUCAAGUGGUCAGGAGGAUUAUUGGGCCUAAAGCAUCCGUAGCCGGUUCUGUAAGUUUCCGGUUAAAUCCACUAGCUCAACUAAUGGGCUGCCGGAAAUACUGCAGAACUAGGGAGUGGGAGAGGUAGACGGUACUCGGUAGGAAGGGGUAAAAUCCUUUGAUCUAUUGAUGACCACCUGUGGCGAAGGCGGUCUACCAGAACACGUUCGACGGUGAGGGAUGAAAGCUGGGGGAGCAAACCGGAUUAGAUACCCGGGUAGUCCCAGCUGUAAACGAUGCAGACUCGGUGAUGCACUGGCUUAUGGGCCAGUGCAGUGCCGCAGGGAAGCCGUUAAGUUUGCCGCCUGGGAAGUACGUACGCAAGUAUGAAACUUAAAGGAAUUGGCGGGGGAGCACCACAAGGGGUGAAGCCUGCGGUUCAAUUGGAUUCAACGCCGGA
rnacentral:rRNA from 1 species